rnacentral:tRNA from 1 species
GGAGCUGUGCCUGAAAAAGGAUUACUUUGAUAGAGUAAAAAAUGAGGGUUAAAACCCCUCCAACUCCU